AGGAAGCAACAGCUUCCUCAGUCAUGACCCUUCUAGUUGGCAUGGCUGUUUCACAAAACGGAGUCACUAGAGUCAAGACUUCUGUCUCGUCACAGAAGCAUGCUGUCAACCAUUCCAUUUGCCAGUUCCUUCAGGGACACCAAGAUGCUAAGACAAGAUCAGACCAGAGUCACCAAGAAGCAUAGCUCCCUGCUCCUGGAGCCUCGGGGAUGUGACAUCCCUGCAGCAGGGGCACAGGCCACGGCAAGCUCAACAGGUGCACUGGUAGAUAAACUCCCAAAGGAUUAUCUCAAGGUCACAGGCAGCAAACUCCCAGGGAAUUCACUGUGAAGAGAGUCCAGCCACAAAGGUCAGGUGUGCUCUACAGCCAUGAUGUCCCACAGCUGAUCCCGUGACAUGACUACAGCUCCUACUCCUGUGUCCUGGCCUCCAGUCCAGUUCUCCAGCUUUCAGUUGAUUCUAUAAGCAGCCUCUAUUAUUUUUUAUUGAUUUUUAAAAAAAAUAAUAAAUGACAGCAAAAUGCA